UUUUAACUAAAUUUACCUCCUGAAAUAUUUUCCUUAAAAAUAGGUUUCCAGAUGAGGUGCUCACACAUCAGUUGCCUCACACGCAGGGUUUGCAGUUCAAUAGCUCUGGAAACAAUGACAGUGAAAUUGCAUUAGUGGACCUUUUUCCUUUGUAAGUGCUUAAAGAUCAGACAACUUAAGCAGGAUUUGGAGCUUUUCUGUGAGAUGAGAUCCUGCAGCUGCUCAGCAGAACUGCCUUUCUGGACACUGGUUUCAUUUCAUGAUGUGCUUUUCAUCUGGGAAAAUUGCACCGUUUUAAGUUUAUUUUCAUUGCUGAGGCUGUUUACUGAGUGACAGUGAGUUUUUGUUUUUGUCUUUCUUCCUUCAUCUUAAAAUAUUU
rnacentral:lncRNA from 1 species